GUAGGGAAUCUUCCACAAUGGACGAAAGCCUGAUGGAGCAACGCCGCGUGUGUGAUGAAGGCUUUCGGUCGUAAAGCACUGUUGUAUGGGAGGAACAGCUAGAAUAGGAAAUGAUUUUUAGUUUGACGGUACCAUACCAGAAAGGGACGGCUAAAUACGUGCCAC
rnacentral:rRNA from 1 species